GAGUGCCUAGCUCUAUACCCCGCAUCCCUACCCCGCCCGCGGACCCAGGGCCCCGGGCGAGUCCAGAUGUCCGAGGCGUCAGGAAACCUCAAUAGCCUACGCAUGGCGAACGUGGCCCUGCGAGAAGAAUUAAAUGCCCUUCGCGGGGAGAAUGCCAAUUUGGGCCUUCAGCUCGGAAGAGCCCUGGCUGAGGUGAAUUCCUUGCGGGGCAAUGUCUCCAGCUUUGUGCGCUGGCCAGUGCCGGUCCUAGCGGAGGAGAACUUUGAGUUCCCGCUCAGCGAGAUAGACUCCGUGCCCGAGGGCGAACUGCCCUUCAUGCGCUGGCCCCCCCCACGCACGGAGCCCGAGCGCGCCUCAGAGGAGCUGUUGCUCAACGCCACCCAGGACUGCGGCACCUCAGAAGGCCAGGUCGACCCUCCCCCGCAGCCCAGCCCGCCCCCGCCGGCGCCGGCGCUGCCCCUGCCCGCCUCCAAGGAACUGCCCCCGCAGCCUCCUAUGCUGCCUCUGGAGUGGCCUGAGCUAGAGCCCUUUUCAGGCGACCCGGUCUACCUGCCUGAAUUCCUGAUGCGGCUAGAGACCUUCAUAGCCGACCACGAGGAUCAUUUCCCUGGGGGUGCUGAGCAGGUGGCCUUUCUGAUUUCCUUUUUCACUGGUAACGCCAAGGACUGGGCCAUCUCAGUCACCCAGGAAGGAAGCCCCCUGCAUGCCAACAUCCCGCGCUUCCUGGAUGAAAUCCGUAAGAAAUUCUAUGGCCCCAUCCCCCCAAGUGUGGCGAAAAAGGCCAUCCGCAAGCUUACGCAGGGAAACUGUACCCUAGGCAGCUAUGCAGAUGCUUUUCAGUUCCUGGCCCAAUUUUUAUCUUGGGAUGACUGCCGCCUUCAAAACCAGUUCCUCAAAGGCCUUUCAGAAUUCUUCCGCAAGGAGCUCUUAUGGUCAACUGAAAUGGCCGACCUGGAUGAGCUGAUUCUUGAAUGUGUGGAGAUAGAAAGAAAAGUGCGUGUCCCUAAGCCAAUCCCACUCCCUGGGGUUCGCAAUAUCUUCUUCCCUUUUGCUGCAGACCCUAAUGUCGAGGGCAGUGGAGAAGAGCGCUACAGUGAGGAUGAAGAUGCAGAGGUGCACAGGCGCAGGCUUCACAAGGACCAGCGGAGGUGUGUGAGAGCUAUUCAGCAAGAGAUGAGGGAGCAGGAGGAAAAGAGGAAAAAGGAGGAAGAGAUGAGGAAGGAGGAGAUAAAACAGAACCAGGAGGAGGACAACGACAAUGAAGACGAGAUCGUGGUGGAUGAUAUAGAUGAGAAAGAGGAAGAAAUGAGGAAGAAUAAUGAGGGUGAGAAAAAGGAUGAGGAUAAGGGCCAGGAACCAGGGCAGGAGCCAGAGCAGGAGCCAGAACCCGAGGAAGAGACAGAGGAUGAGGCCCAGGAUGAUGACUUAGAUGAGUUCAUGGACGUGAUGCCGACCUAUGCCAAUGCUUCAUCCCAGACUUCUGGCUUCUAUCAUGAAAAUUUCCUAGAUACAUCACCUCCCGUAAUACAGGCCAGCAGACGGAGGAACCAGAAUCGAGUCCCACUGCUGGAGGGCCUUCCAGGUACCAAUUCACCCUUCUACAGUUCACCACCACUGAUUCGCAGGGCAGGUCGGUUGGUGCAACGCCAAACUCGAAGACGGCCCCCAGUACUAUUCCGCCUCACUCCAAGACAGGGAGGCCAUCGGGCUGCACGUGGCCGAAUUCGCGUGUGAGUGCUGGGGGAGAUGGCCACCCAGACCACACCCUUCCACUGCGUCCCCUGUCCUUGCUGUUGCUGCCACACCUUGCCCCCUUUUCUGACUAGUACUUAAGGGAGUUCCAGACCUGAAGAACCUGAAGAAGACCUGUAGAACUCCAGACCAUCUUGCAGCCAUGACCACUUGGGAAAGGAGGGGUCAGCAAUAGCUGUCCUCUUGACUGUGCGCUCUGCUCAGUCCUACCACAAGCUAGUGAGCAGGUUUCUGGGCCUAUUCCCGUAAAUGAACUGGUCACCCCCUUGCAUUUCCCCUCUAAUUGUUCCUAACCCUGUGUUCUAUGGUUUUAUCAACUCUGACUGGCUCACCAGAGCUUCACCCAAUACCUCAAUAAUCUGCCCCAAUAAGUGAAAGGAUGGGCUACACUGAACUCCUGAGGACAUUUACUAGAUAUAAUCGACAGAGAGCAGGAUGGGAUCCAUAAAUGUGCCUAGAAGCCUACACUUGGUUCAUCCUCCAGCAGAAGGGCCCAAAGAGGACCCUACGUGUAGUCUAAUGAGGGUGGGCAAAGCUACUUGUCAAAUGGACAUUUCACUGAGGUUUGUCCUUGGUGGCUGAGCAAGCUAGUUCAACCUUCCCACAGACUACUGUAUCAGUGUCCUUGGACAAGCUCACCAAAUCUGGGGCCCUUUCUUCUUAUCACACUGCCCUCCCGGGCAUCCCUGGUGGACAGAACCCAGUGUUACCCCUUUCCUUGGUGUUGCCUGGAAAAUGGGGGAGGAGGAAGAAGAGGAGAAAAAAGCAGCAACAACUCAGUUUGACAUUGUGAGGAGUGACUCUUUCCUUAGGGAUGGCGGUCUCCUCCCCAGGCCAGGUCUUGGACUGCAACCCCCAGCCAAAGGUCUUUGCAGGAGACUUGCCAUCUUUGGGGGUUCAUAGAAGGCCUAACUGGCCUUUCCUUCCCGGACUACCAAUGACAGAGAGGGCCCAAGGCCUGCUCUUUAACUUCAACUUAAAGGAUUCCGUAGUUCUCAGAAGAGAGAGGAAGUUUCUCUCUACAGAGACUGUAGCCUGUCAGCCAGGCCAUCCUCACGUCUCUCACAUGGGGGGCAAGCCAUAGCCUGAUGCUGAGCUUCAAUUAGAUGGUAAGGCUGGAAAGGGUGACUGCCGACUGCCUCCUAGUAACUCCUGGGACUUCUGGGUACAAACCUAGGGACCCUUAUAAAGAGUCCUGCUGCUUGCCAUGGGUCCAGAAACUAUGUCACUGGCCACAGAAUUCUAGGCAAAUCCACUGCUGGCCUGAACUGCCCUUGACACUGAGCCUGGCAGCUGGGCAAGCGCAAUCAAAGUGUCUGUAGUCAGAGGGAAUAGAGCAGAGUAAAUCAAGCCUCUGUUCCUCACUGGAGUCUGGUAGAUAGCCUCACCCCAGCCUUAGGAUUUUGAGCCUAGAAGCAAGAGGAAGGAGCUAGAGGAUGACCAGUUCGCUGGCUGGUUGCUGGUGAGGUCUCUACUCAUCAGCAGAAGGUAAGAAGCCGUUUUGUUUAUCAUAAAUUUCUCAGCCUGGGGACCAGGGGAGCCAGGUUCUUAUAACCUGUUGCUACCUUUUAAAAAGGCUUCCUCCUCCUCCAAAGAGAAAAGUAAUGCAUAAUCAUUAUAGAAAAUGUAGAAAAUAGAGAAAACUAUAAGGACACAAAAAAAAUCCCAAACAUUCAGAACCCCACCACACAGAUGCAAGUACUAUUUGCUGCCUUUCUUUCUAGUGUGUUUUCAGUAUGUCUUUUCAAAGCGGAGAUCAUCCUGCAGGCUCAUGAUCAGCAGGAUUUAAAAUGGCUGCCACCUAUGCAGUCAGUCAUGCACACUGAAUAAUUGAGCUAUUUCCUCAGGAGAGAGUUCCAGAAGGGGAACUACUGUUCUUCGAGGCUGUGGACCCUGUUUGCUGAUGGUCAACACAAUGGCCCUACU